rfam:Schistosoma margrebowiei strain Zambia genome assembly, scaffold: SMRZ_contig0004894
ACACAGCUGACGAGUCCCGAAUAGGACGGAACAUGCGUCCUGAAU